CAGCAGCCGCGGUAAUUCCAGCUCCAGAAGCGUAUAUUAAAGUUGUUGCAGUUAAAAAGCUCGUAGUUGGAUCUGGGUCGCAUGGCUACGUGCCGUAACUUGUAUUCUUGGCCUGGCUACGGUUGGGUCGAGUUUGUGGGUCGGUUUCGUGGCUGUGUAGCCUUUCUGCCGUGUCUGUUUCGACAGGUGCUGAUGGUUCAUCCGUUGGCAUGCUUCCAGAUGCCUUUAACCGGGUGUCGGGGGCGGACGGCACGUUUACUUUGAACAAAUUUGAGUGCUCAAAGCAGGCCUAUGCCUGAAAAUUCUUGCAUGGAAUAAUGGAAUAGGACUUCGGUUCUAUUUUGUUGGUUUUCGGAUCCGAAGUAAUGGUUAAGAGGGACAGACGGGGGCAUUUGUAUGGCGGUGUUAGAGGUGAAAUUCUUGGAUCGCCGCCAGACAAACUACAGCGAAAGCAUUUGCCAAGGAUGUUUUCAUUGAUCUGGAGCGAAAGUCAGAGGUUCGAAGACGAUCAGAUACCGUCCUAGUUCUGACCAUAAACGAUGCCAACUGACGAUCCGUGGGUGUACUUUUAGUGACCCCACGGGCAGUCCCCGGGAAACCUUUAAGUCUUUGGGCUCCGGGGGAAGUAUGGUUGCAAAGCUGAUACUUAGAGGAAUUGACGGAAGGGCACCACCAGGAGUGGAGCCUGCGGCUUAAUUUGACUCAACACGGGA
rnacentral:rRNA from 1 species